rnacentral:rRNA from 1 species
GACAGAGGGUGCAAACGUUGCUCGGAAUUACUGGGCGUAAAGCGCGUGUAGGCGGACGUGUAAGUCAGGUGUGAAAUCCCCGGGCUCAACCCGGGAACUGCACUUGAAACUGCGCGUCUUGAGUGCUGGAGAGGGUAGUGGAAUUCCUGGUGUAGAGGUGAAAUUCGUAGAUAUCAGGAGGAACACCGGUGGCGAAGGCGGCUACCUGGACAGUUACUGACGCUGAGACGCGAAAGCGUGGGGAGCAAACAGG